rfam:Triticum aestivum genome assembly, contig: Triticum_aestivum_CS42_TGACv1_scaffold_655204_T_3DS-0.054159_2AL-0.048492
GAAAGCCGUAUUCGAUGAAAGUUGUAUGUACGGCUUGGAGGGAGGUCUUUCAUAUCUUUCGAGAUCUACCCUAC